rnacentral:rRNA from 1 species
CCUGAGAAACCCAAAAGAUCGAAUGGGGAGAUUCAUCGUCAGCUCAUUUUAUAUAUAUACUAGUUAUGAUAUGGGUUACUACUUGUAGUAUUGCCUGUACAUUCUUGUAUAUUUAAUUGUAAGAUGUUGUCGGCGUGCACUUCUCCCCUAGUAGGACGUCGCGACCCGUUGAGUUUUGUUGGUCUACGGCCCAAAUGGAAGCUUUUAAUGAAUAUUUUAUAUUUAUUGAAAACCAUUGGUGUUUCCUGACUGACACUCGUCGGUAUUCGUAUGGUAUUGAGCCGCAUAUUAUAUGCGUNCUUAUCUGUCGCAAGCGAGAUUAUUUACUGAUAGUACGGACCUAGUGCCGUCGUUGGUAAUAAUCAGCUGUUGGUUGUACAGAAUUCUAGGACUGGCUCGUUGAAAUACCGGUCAGCGAUGCUACUGCUUUG